rnacentral:rRNA from 1 species
GAUUAUGGCUCAGGAUGAACGCUGGCGGCGUGCCUAACACAUGCAAGUCGAGCGAUUCUCUCGGGGAAGAGCGGCGGACGGGUGAGUAACGCGUGGGUAACCUGCCCUAUACACACGGAUAACGUACCGAAAGGUACGCUAAUACGAGAUAAUAUGCUUUAGUCGCAUGGCUGAAGUAUCAAAGCUCCGGCGGUAUAGGAUGGACCCGCGUCUGAUUAGCUAGUUGGUAAGGUAAUGGCUUACCAAGGCGACGAUCAGUAGCCGACCUGAGAGGGUGAUCGGCCACAUUGGAACUGAGACACGGUCCAAACUCCUACGGGAGGCAGCAGUGGGGAAUAUUGCACAAUGGGCGAAAGCCUGAUGCCAGCAACGCCGCGUGAGCGAUGAAGGCCUUCGGGUCGUAAAGCUCUGUCCUCAAGGAAGAUAAUGACGGUACUUGAGGAGGAAGCCCCGGCUAACUACGUGCCAGCCGCCGC